UUGUCAUGUUGAUGAUACUGGCCUGUUGUAGAAGGUACAGCAGAGCUGAUGACCGGUGGUUGGGGGUGUGGUUGUCAUGUUGAUGAUACUGGCCUGUUGUAGAAGGUACAGCAGAGCUGAUGACCGGUGGUUGGGGGUGUGGUUGUCAUGUUGAUGAUACUGGCCUGUUGUAGAAGGUACAGCAGAGCGGUGGUUGGGGGUGUGGUUGUCAUGUUGAUGAUACUGGCCUGUUGUAGAAGGUACAGCAGAGCUGAUGACCGGUGGUUGGGGGUGUGGUUGUCAUGUUGAUGAUACUGGCCUGUUGUAGAAGGUACUUCAGAGCUGAUGACCGGUGGUUGGGGGUGUGGUUGUCAUGUUGAUGAUACUGGCCUGUUGUAGAAGGUACUUCAGAGCUGAUGACCGGUGGUUG